rnacentral:lncRNA from 1 species
GGCAGGCGGCAGAAUCACUGAGCUAAAUCCCUGGCCCUGGGAGAACUUUUAGUCAUUUAGUCUCCAAAUGUCUAGCCUUGUAAUUGGCAUGUAACAAGUGUUUAAUAAAUUUUUGGUCUGUUUUCUUUUUUGGUAUCAGGAAUCAAACCCAGGGCCUUGUGCUUGCUAGGUAGGCGUUGUACUGCUGAGCUACAUCCCCAGCCUUAAUUUUUCAAUAAAUGAAUAAGUAACAUUAACUGUUGGUUCGUAAGUCUCUGGCUAGAGUUACUGGCAGUAUGGGUCCGAGAUGAAAAUAAAACACUGUGGCUUGCACAUUAGGUACAGUUACAGGCAAGGAUAUCAGCUGCUCCUCAGAGCAUCUGUGAGGUGUGCCAUACCAUCCCUUAGAGAGCAUGAGGUUUAGUUGCCCAUGCAACCUGGUCUCUAGAGAUGCAUUCAUGGACCCUCAAGACAGUGCUUGGUACCUAUGACAAAAUCCUACCCAGGUCACAUUGUUGGUGGCUCUGUGAUUAACAUAGAUAAAGGUACUCAGAAAGCAGUAGUGUGUAGUCUUUGCAGUUUUAUUGAUAGAUGUUGAUAGCUUAGCUAUCGGGCUCCGCCAGGUUUAUCUUCCUGUCAGUUGAGUGAUGGUAGGAAUUGUCAGGGUUCAAAUUAACUAUUAUUCUUUCAGCUGAUAGUGAACCAAAAAAGCAUGCGUCUUCAGAGAAGAAAUCCAGUGCAGCAAAAGUUGAAAAGUGCGAGACUGGGAGAGCUGUGUGCCAAAUACCUGGAUGCUUCUUGCUUGACAUAGAAAAAUCAAAACAGUAUUCUGGAAAAGAAUUCAAGAAAAAUAAGGAUGAACUGGUUCAGAAAAUCUAUACACUGUUUAACACCACUGUCUUUGAUCAAAAGGUAAAAUUGAUGCAUUAGAAUUUAUUGAGCACCUGCUGUGUGAUGGUACUCUUGGGGGGUAGGUGGUAUCCUGUGUGUAUACUUCCUGCCCUUGAAAAGUGUCAGUGUAGGUGGGGAGAGAAGAUGUGCAUAUAUGAAGGAAAUAGUGUUUAUGGCUUAUAAUAUACGCAACAGAUGGUUAUUACCAUACGAGAUCAGCAGAGGGAGGAAUAACAGAGACUGAGUGGUGAGGAAGUAGGAUUGCUUGGAGGAAGUGAACCUCCUUUUGGUAAGUCACAAGGUCAACAGUGACAAGGGAGAGGGGAAUGUGUUGAGGCUUGACCACUUGAAAUGAAAAGAGCAAUGUGAGGGGCCGGGGAUUUAGCUUAGUGGUUUCGCCACCUGCUGCGCAAGCGCAAGGACCGGAGUUCAAUCCCCAGCACCAAAAAAAAGAAAAGAGCAGUGUGAGCUUGGAGAAGUUAUUUAACCUCAAUAUGCUUGUUUCUACAUCUAUAAAAUGGGAACAAUAACAGUACAGUCGUCCCUCUGUAUCCAUGGUGGACUGGUUCUAGGCUUAUCCAAUAAAUACCACAAUCUGCAGAUACGUGUAGUAUUUGAAUAUGGUCUACUCACAUCUUCCCUUUAAAAAAAACUGGGGAGGGUUCUUUCUGAUUUUUUUUGAGACAGGGUCUCACUAUGUAGUUCAGACUGGCCUUAAACUCACUAUGUAACCCAGUCCGGCCUUGAACUCACAGCAGUGCUCCUGCCUCAGCCUCCUGAGUGCUGCGAUUGCAGGCCUAUACCACCAUACCCAGCUCUCCUAUUUUUUUAAAAUCAUCUCUAUAUUACCUAUAUGAUAGGUAAUAUAACAUACCAUGUAAAUAGUUGUUACACUAUAUUGUUUAGGGAAUAAUGACAAGGGGGAAAUUGGUACAUGUUCAGCACAGUUCCAAUUUUUUUUUUUUGGUACCAGGGAUUGAACUCAGGACCUUGUGCUUGUGAGGCAGGUGGUGGAACCACUGAGCUAAAUCCUCGGCCCACACAGUUCUAAUUUUUAAAAAAUAUUUUUGAUUUAUGGUUGGUUGAAGCUAUGGAUGUGGAAGCCAUGAAUACGGAGGGCCAAUUGUACUUACUACCUAAGCAUUAUUAUUGGGCCUACAAAAGUUAAUAUACAGAAAGUGCCUGGAACAGGGCCUACAGUAUUGUAGCUCUUCUUACCAUUUUUUGAUGGGGUAGGACCAGGUAACGGAUGACCCUGGGAAUCAGGUUGUGGGAGAUUAAAUUUAAAUCAGUAGGCACCACUGCCCAGGGAUAAGAUGUGACCUGGAGUGGCUGGGGGAGCAAACUCUUGACAGUAGCCUGUAGAUGUGGAUUGGAUUAGAGAGAAUUUGGAGGCAGAGACCUGUUGGUCAUUCCCUUGUUUUGUUUUUGUGGUGCUGGGAACCGAAGGAGGGCCUCUUAUGUGCUAAGCAAGCACUGUACCAGAG